UACGGGGGGGGCAAGCGUUGUUCGGAAUUACUGGGCGUAAAGGGCUCGUAGGCGGCCAACUAAGUCGGACGUGAAAUCCCCAGGCCCAACCUGGGAACUGCGUCCGAUACUGGAUGGCUUGAAUCCGGGAGAGGGAUGCAGAAUUCCAGGUGUAGCGGUGAAAUGCGCAGAUAUCAGGAGGAACACCGGUGGCGAAGGCGGAUCUCUGGGCCAUUACUGACGCUGAGGAGCGAAAGCGUGGGGAGCGAACAGG
rnacentral:rRNA from 1 species